rfam:Ictidomys tridecemlineatus contig011849, whole genome shotgun sequence.
UGGGUUGUGGUUCAGUGGUAGAUCACUUGCCUUGCAUGCAUGAGGCACUGGGUUCAAAUCUCAGCACCACAU